GUGGCAGUCAAACCAUCAACAGAAGAUACAAACUUUGAUAUAAAAUAAAAGGAAAAGCGUCAAACAAGAUAGCCAUAGUCAUAAUCAAAAUUCAAAUAUGCUGCUAUGUAGAGCUAGUACGCGGACCGACAUCUGCAGUGAAGUCGACAUGGGAGUUAGAAGGAAAAUUUCAGUCUAGGAAUUUGUGUUUCAUAAGUUCCAAUUUAGGAAUUUGUAUCAUUGUAAAUUUUGAUUUUGCCUAAUUUGCUUAUAAAGAGGGAGCCAUCAUUAGGCUUUUAUAUUACCAUUAUAAAAGAGAGAGAGAGAGGGGUUAGAGAAGAUAGAUUUGAGCUUUUUUGUUGUAAACUUUUUUUCAAUAUAGUGAAUUAUUGCAACGGAUGAAGAGGACGUAUUCUCAGAUUGAAACGAACAUUUAUAACUCUUGCGUGUCUUUAUUUCUUUUCACGAAUAUCUCGCGGUGGAAUAGAAUUCGAAUUUCUAAUUCUCAAUAAAUUAUUGGCCGAGAGAAGCUAAGCAAGUUCGGAUGAGAUGAGAUCAUAUAGUUAAGAUUUAUUUUAGGAAGGACAAUGCUACAUUUAUCUACACAUUUUUACUAAAUCUUUUACCUACACUCACAACAGGAGGGUAGGUCCCACAAGCCAGAAUUUUUAAAUGCACGCGGGGCCUGCGCGCAUGUGAGGGCAGG
rnacentral:lncRNA from 1 species